UGUGGCAUUUCUAGAUGCUGAUUUGACAGAAUGAUUAUUGCACUGGUGUGCUUUAGGCUGGCCAAAAUAAAAGGCCACUCUAAAAUGUGCAGUUCCAUCUCACAGCACAAUGCCACAGAUGUCGCAAGUUUGGUGGGAGCAUGCAAUUGGCAUGCUGAGUGCAGGAAUGUCCAGAGCUGUUCCCUCGAGUUUGAAAGUACUUUCCAUUGGAGCUGUUUUUGAAAAACAAGAGAAAAUCCUGUUGUAAUGGAUACAUCGGUUGAGGUAGCUUGAGUUUGGGGGCAUGAUGUCAGCUCCAGGGUGAUGCCGGUGCCCAGCUGUUCGCCGUCAGCAAUCACACCUGUUCCUGGUUCACCAAUCACCCACUGCUUUUAGGAGGAGUCCUGAUGUCCCGUUCCUACCGGAUCGUUAAGGCUCAUUUGAUUACCUUCUCAUCUUUCACUCACCUGGUUACUCUCCUGGAGACACUAACACCGAAGCCAGAUCAGUCCACCACGCUGUGACCAACACCCACCUCCACGCUCUCUUGGGAUUCCAGAACCGUCGUCACCCCACCAUCCAG